GGAUGUGAGGGUGAUCUGGCUGCAACAUCUGUCACCCCAUUGAUCGCCAGGUUGAUUCGGCUGAUCUGGCUGGCUAGACAGGUGUCCCCUUCCUCCCUCACCACUCCAUGUGCAUCCUUCCUGAAGCUGUGUGCUUGGUUGAACAGGACGACCAACCCUGAUAGAGGAGGACCGUUCUUCGGUCAAGGGUAUAUGAAUAGCUGUGCUCCCCUGCUAGAACCUCCAAACAAGCUCUCUAUCUUCAGUUAGACAUAUUUAUACAUAUAUAUAUAUGUAUGUGUGCGUGUGUAUAUAUGU
rnacentral:snRNA from 1 species